CCACGAGAGAGUCACCCCUUAUAUUUGUAAUAUCUUCCCUUCCGUUCCUGAACUGCGGAGGGAUCAUUACACAAAUAUGAAGGCGGGCUGGAACUCUCGGGGUUACAGCCUUGCUGAAUUAUUCACCCUUGUCUUUUGCGUACUUCUUGUUUCCUUGUGGGUUCGCCCACCACUUAGGAUGUGAAUAACCUUUUGUAAUUGCAAUCAGCGUCAGUAACAAAUUAAUAAUUAUGACUUUCAACAACGGAUCUCUUGGUUCUGGCAUCGAUGAAGAACGCAGCGAAAUGCGAUAAGUAGUGUGAAUUGCAGAAUUCAGUGAAUCAUCGAAUCUUUGAACGCACAUUGCCCUUUGGUAUUCCAAAGGGCAUGACUGUUCGAGCGUCAUUUGUAAUGCUCAGUUUGCUUGGUGUUGGGCGUCUUGUCUCUAGUUUGUUGGAGACUCGCCUUAAAGUAAUUGGCAGCCGGCCUACUGGUUUCGGAGGCAGCACAAGUCGCACUCUCUAUCAGCAAAGGUCUAGCAUCCAUAAAGCCUUUUUUUCAACUUUUGGGACUCGGAUCAGGUAGGAGCCCGCUUAGUGGUCUUGUUU
rnacentral:rRNA from 1 species